UUUUGAGUGUUUCUUUUGACGUCUCAGCGUACCUUUUUGGUGUCUUGUUUCGGUGUGCGUUAGCCGAGCUACGAGUGCUCUGAUUCUCCUCUGGAUAGAGAAGAUACGUAGGCAUAGGAUGCGAUAUCCUAGCGAGCAUGUCUCCUUUUCCCCGAACUACGUUGACUCUGAUGUUUGUUUCUCGAGCUACGAGUGCUCUGAUUCUCCUCUGGAUAGAGAAGAUACGUAGGCAUAGGAUGCGAUAUCCUAGCGAGCAUGUCUCCUUUUCCCCGAACUACGUUGACUCUGAUGUUUGUUUCUGAC
rnacentral:lncRNA from 1 species